UACGUAGGGUGCGAGCGUUGUCCGGAAUUACUGGGCGUAAAGAGCUCGUAGGUGGUUUGUCGCGUUGUUCGGGAAAACCGGGGGCUUAACCCUCGGCGUGCGGGCGAUACGGGCAGACUUGAGUACUGCAGGGGAGACUGGAAUUCCUGGUGUAGCGGUGGAAUGCGCAGAUAUCAGGAGGAACACCGGUGGCGAAGGCGGGUCUCUGGGCCGAUACUGACGCUGAGGAGCGAAAGCGUGGGGAGCGAACAGG
rnacentral:rRNA from 1 species